rnacentral:rRNA from 1 species
AUGCACCCCCUGCUUCCAUCUCCCUCCACCGCCGCCCUCCCUUACCCCUCCGCAGUUCUUGGCACCGCGGCUGUUGCCCCGCACUGGAUCGACGCGCCGCUAUUGCUCUGUCGCUGCGUACAGAGAGUUCAACGCCGCAACCCCCGUCCGUUCAAUGUCGCCGCCAUGGCCGUGCCCCACUCCAACUCCCUCGCCUGUGCUUCCAUGGCGAAACAGUGCAACCUGCAGGAGGAACCGUGGGGGGUCGAGGACGUCCAGCUCGGCAGUCCAACUCAGCAUGAUUCACGUCAUCGUUGGCCCCAUGUUCGCUGGCAAGACCACCGCGCUUCUCCGACGGCACCGGCAGCGCCAUGCUCAGUCCAACCCCGUGGCUUCAGGGUGGCCGAGUUCGUAGUGACCAUCAGUUUGGAGACCUGCGUCACUGCGCGUGUCGCUACCAUGGCCCCCUGUGUCACUGCAUGCUCCGUCAACAGCCUCCUACACAAGGAAAAGCAACAGGAGUAG